CACAGCCUGUUGCCAGAGGACUGCUCUAAUUUGGUAUCUGGCUCCAGCUCACCAUCCUCUGACCUUCUUGGAUUCAGCUGGGACUCUGAUUUCCUUGGUUCUACAUUGGCUAUUGCUACCACUCUGGCUCUGAGUGGAGCUUCCUCAGUCUGCCUCUCACCCUCCUACUGCUGCCGAAGGAUACAUUUCUGAAAAUGUGCUGCAGAUGUGAAUAUUUUCUGCAAGUGCCUGUGGCUGACCCAGGCUACUGACGCAGUCAGCCUGCUCAGCACUGCUUCUCUGGAACAAACCCUUGACCCCUCUUCCUUUCUCUCAACUUGGACUUUCAGCCCUUUCUAUCCCACUUUAUCCUGAAGCUCUGCUUGGCUGGCUUAGCUGUUAAUUUUUUUUUUUUUUUAAUUCCAUAGCUUUAACUCUUCUAAGAAUUCUGUCAUUGUCUCUUUUGAUAAUUAAGUACUCUCCACCAAUGUAGUCCCCUAGGAGGGGAGGGGUUCAGGAGAGAGGAGAAAAAAACAGAAGAGAAUUAACAUGAAUUAAGCAAAGAUUCUGGGCCAGGCACCAAAGCUAAGGAGCUUCAUACGUUAUCUCUUUAAUCUCCUCAAAACUUUGAGAAUGGAUCAUUGUUAGCUCAUUUUACAAACAGGAAAAUGAAAGAUUUGAAAGAUGCUCCUUUUGUCUGGAAGCUUCAGCUAUAUGCCAUCUCAAGUUCCAUCUUCCUGGAAAACCCUUGUAAAUCCACCACUGUUAGGCUUAGCCAUCAUCUCCUUGAUGAAGCCUAUCCCUGACCUCUGCCCAAGACUAUGGAAAUAAUGUUAGACAAAAAGCAAAUUCAAACGAUUUUCUUAUUCAAAUUCAAAAUGGGUCAUAAAAUAGCAGAGACAACUCGCAACAUCAAAAAUGCAUUUGGCCCAGGAACUGCUAAUGAAGAAAUGUACAGUGCAGUGGUGGUUCAAGAAGUUUUGCAAAGCAGAAGAGAGCCUUGAAGAUGAGGAGCAUAGUGGCCAGCCAUCAGAAGUUGACAACAACCAACUGAGAGCACUCAUGGAAGCUGAUCCUCUUACAAACACAUGAGAAGUUGCCCAAGAACUCAACGUCAACCAUUCUAUGGUUGUUCAUCAUUGAAGCAGAUGGAAAGGCAAAGAAGCUCGAUAAAUGGGUGCCUCACGAGCUCAGCAAACAUAAAAUAAAACCAUCAUUUUGAAGUAUCAUCUCUUAGUCUACACAACAAUAACGAACCAUUUCUCCAUCGGAUUGUGCAAUGAAAAGUGAAUUUUGUAUGACAACUGGUGAUGACCAGCUCAGUGAUUGGAUCAAGAAAGAAGCUCCAAAGUCCCAAAGCCAAACUUGUACCAAAAAAGGUCAUGGUCACUGGGAUCUGCUGCCGGUUAUGAUCCUCUACAGCUUUCUGAAUCCCAGUGAAACCAUUACAUCUGAGAAGCAUGCUCAGCAAAUCGAUGAGAUGCACUGAAAACCGCAAUGCCUGCAGCCGGCAUUGGUCAACAGAAAGGGCCCAAUUCACCACGACAAUGCUUGACGGCACAUCACACAACCAAUGCUUCAAAAGUUGAAUGAAUUGGGCUACAAAGUUUUGCCUCAUCCACCAUAUUCACUUGAUCUCUCGCCAACCAGCUACCACUUCUUCAAGCAUCUCAACAACUUUUUGCAGGGAUAAUGCUUCCACAACCAGCAGGAUGCAAAAAAUGCUUUCCAAGAGUUUGUCGAAUCCCAAAGCUCGAAUUUUUAUACUGCAGGAAUAAACAAACUUAUUUCUUGUUGGCAAAAAUCUGUUGAUUGUAAUGGUUCCUAUUUUGAGUAAUAAAGAUGUGUUUGAGCCCAGUUAU
rnacentral:lncRNA from 1 species